UACGUAGGGGGCAAGCGUUGUCCGGAAUCAUUGGGCGUAAAGCGCGUGUAGGCGGCCCGGUAAGUCCGCUGUGAAAGUCCAGGGCUCAACCCUGGAAAGCCGAUGGAUACUGCCGGGCUAGAGUUCGGAAGAGGCGAGUGGAAUUCCUGGUGUAGCGGUGGAAUGCGCAGAUAUCAGGAGGAACACCUAUAGCGAAGGCAGCUCGCUGGGACGACACUGACGCUGAGACGCGAAAGCGUGGGGAGCGAACAGG
rnacentral:rRNA from 1 species